rnacentral:rRNA from 1 species
CAGCCCUAAACGAUGCGCGUUAGGUGUAUCGGUGACCACGAGUCACCGAGGUGCCGAAGGGAAGCCGUGAAGCGAGCCACCUGGGAAGUACGGCCGCAAGGCUGAAACUUAAAGGAAUUGGCGGGGGAGCACAACAACGGGUGGAGCUUGCGGUUUAAUUGGAUUCAACGCCGGAAAUCUUACCGGGACCGACAUAUGAUAGUCGGGCUGAAGACUCUACUUGAUGAUCUGAGAGGAGGUGCAUGGCGUCAGUGACU